GGGCGGUGAGCGUACACACGGGACGCCCGGGAACCUGGGGUGGGGAAGCACCGCCUCUGGCUGUGGAAGGGCCCCGCGGCUGUCACUGAGUCUCUCACACCCCCUCCCUGUCCCGUGGCACCGUCAUGGGAGUGUGACACGGGGUCCCGGUGAGUCACAGACGCUUCCGCGUGAGGGCUGAGGAAGAGCGGAGACCAGGAAGUUCCGUGAUGCCGGCAUGAGUGUGGCAAGUCAUUCCUGAGGUUGCACACAGGAGGCAUUAGGGUUGGGAAACAAGUGCAUCGCCCUGGUCCUGGGCCGUCCCCUGCCUGGAGCCGCCUGCUCCUUAUAAAAGGGCCUCCUCAGCACACGGAGGCUAUCCUGCCGACACUCAGCCCUAGACCUUCUGCGGAGCGUCAGAUUCCUCGGACCCAGGAAAGAUGUCUUACCAGCAGCAGCAGUGCAAGCAGCCCUGCCAGCCUCCCCCCGUGUUCAUACCUAAGUGCCCGGAGCCUUGCCCUCCACCUAAGUGCCCGGAGCCUUGCCCAGCCCCAAAGUGCCCGCAGCCGUGUCCUCCCCCUCCGUGCCAGCAGAAGUGCCCCCCCUGCCAGCAGAAGUGUCCUCCCAAGUGCAAGUAACAGCGCCCGCACCGCCAAGGGUCAUGAAACGGAAAGACCCAGGCUCGUCUCAGUCCCAGGACCCCAUCACCCUCCUUUCUGCCGUGGUGACGCAUGCGUCUUCUCUCAGCUCCCACCUGAGCUGACAGCUCACAGAGAAAAGGCCUGGUGCCUGAGCUGAUGCCAUGCGGCUGGAGGACGCACAGCGACAUCAUUGCCUCAUCUCGCUCUGCCAUCUUCGUGUGUCACUGGGUGGCGAUCUCUGUUCUGUGAGCCUUUGAGCGGCUAUUCUUUUGCUUCUCUAAUAAAGCAAAUGUUUCAUGCAUGA